AUGGCGACGGCGGUCGGACGCGAGGAGGGGGAGCCGGCGGCGGCGGCGUCGUGGAGGCUGCGCAUGGGCAGCAGCGACGCCAUGCGCGUGCCGGAGCGGCUGCACCGGCGUCCGCCCUUCUUCUCCAGGCUCUUGGGCGCCGCUUGCCCGUCCCACGGGAAACAAAGGAAAAUCGCAAAGUACUACGAGAAGCAGGAGAGUCUCCUGAAGGAUUUCAGCGAGAUGGAGAGCAUGAAUGAGCUCGGCUGCUUGGACCAGAACAGUGCUCCUACCGAGGAAGAGCUGCGGCAAUUGGCCAAGGGCGAAAAGCUGGCAAUCAACCUGUCGAACAUCAUCAACCUGGUCCUGUUCGUCGGGAAAGUCGUCGCCUCCGUCGAGACCCGGUCGAUGGCGGUGAUCGCGUCGACGCUGGACUCGCUGCUGGAUCUGCUCUCAGGGUUCAUCCUCUGGUUCACGGCGCACGCCAUGAAGAAGCCCAACAAGUAUAGCUACCCGAUCGGCAAGAGGCGCAUGCAGCCAGUGGGCAUCGUGGUUUUUGCGUCGGUGAUGGGGUGCCUGGGGUUCCAGGUGCUGAUCGAGUCGGGGCGGGAGCUGGUGACGCAGGAGCACACCACGUUCGACACCUGGAAGGAGAUGUGGAUGGUGGGCAGCAUGUCGUCCGUGGCCGUCGUCAAGUUCUUCCUCAUGCUCUACUGCCGGACCUUCAAGAACGAGAUCGUCCGGGCCUACGCGCAGGACCACUUCUUCGACGUCAUCACCAACUCCGUCGGCCUCGUCAGCGCCCUCCUCGCCGUCAAGUUCAAGUGGUGGAUGGACCCCGUCGGAGCCAUACUGAUCGCGCUGUACACGAUCACGACGUGGGCGCGGACGGUGCUGGAGAACGUGGGCACGCUCAUCGGGAGGUCGGCGCCGGCCGAGUACCUGACCAAGCUCACCUACCUCAUCUGGAACCACCACGAGGAGAUCCGGCACAUCGACACGGUGAGGGCAUACACCUUCGGGACGCACUACUUCGUGGAGGUGGACGUGGUGCUCCCCGGCGACAUGCCGCUCAGCCAGGCGCACGACAUCGGGGAGGCGCUGCAGGAGAAGCUGGAGCAGCUGCCCGAGGUGGAGCGCGCCUUCGUCCACGUCGACUUCGAGUUCACGCACCGCCCAGAGCACAAGGCCGACGUCUGA
rnacentral:rRNA from 1 species